CAGUAGCCGCGGGAAUACAGAGGGUGCAAGCGUUAAUCGGAUUUACUGGGCGUAAAGGGCGCGUAGGUGGUUAUGUAAGUGAGAUGUGAAAUCCCCGGGCUCAACCUGGGAACUGCAUCUUAUACUGCGUAGCUGGAGUGCAGUAGAGGGUAGUGGAAUUUCCGGUGUAGCGGUGAAAUGCGUAGAUAUCGGAAGGAACACCAGUGGCGAAGGCGGCUACCUGGACUGACACUGACACUGAGGCGCGAAAGCGUGGGGAGCAAACAGGAUUAGAUACCCCAGUAGUCCCUGUCUCUUAUAC
rnacentral:rRNA from 1 species